UGGGGUGUAGCCAAGCGGUAAGGCACGGGACUUUGACUCCCGCAUCCCAGGUUCGAUUCCUGGCACCCCAG
rnacentral:tRNA from 1 species